AGGCUGGAUCCUCCUCCUGAUCUUUGUAACUAGAGAUGCUGAAGACUGAAUCUGGAGCCUUUUGUGUGCAGAGUUGGUCCACCAAUGAGCAGUGAUGGGGAGGAUGAUUGGGAUAAGCAAAGGUGUGUUACAGAGAAGUGUUUUC
rnacentral:lncRNA from 1 species